UCCAACUAAGAGUGUGUGAGUGGGUGGAGUAGGUGGCUUGAGUGUAGAGUGUAGUGAAAGUGUAGGGUGAUAGAGAGUGAGUGGGUGUAUGCACAGAGAGUUGUGUUCGUGUGUGGUUUGUGAAGGGAGUGGGUGAGCAAGUAAAGUGAGUAGUCUUGAGAGUGUGAUAGUAUAAAGAGUUUGUUAUAUUGUUUAUAAAAAGAAAAUAAUUAUUUUACUUGUACAUCCACUUGCUUUUCAACAGGACCAUGGACACUUCUCGAGGGAGAGAGGGAGAUAGAUAUGGACCGAGUAGAAGAAGGAUAGACCAUGCAAUAACUUCUUGAGGAUAAAUGGACUUUUGUCGAGAAAAGAUGGCACUUGCAGCCCCUCCACGCAAACAUCUUGAAACGCAAUAGCUCUCGGUGCCAUCUUUCCUGCGACAAGAGCUCCUAUUAAGCUCCAAAUCAAGUCUUCUCCUCUCUUUCUCUUUCUUUUUGGAGGGGACAAACUCCUAAAGACUCCAAAUGUAUGGAUCUCUACGCUACACGUCUCACCUUAAUGAUCCAAAUGCGCGUUUAUAUAGAGCUGAGAAGGAUUGUUCCGUCCUUUUCGCUCAUCUCCUCUCUGUCUUUUUUGUCCAAUUUUAAAUUCGGUGAUAGAGAUCGAAGAAAGAAAGAGGGAGAGACCGCGUGCUCCUGGCGACAAUGCCCUUCUGCCCUCGUUGAGUUCGCUUUUAGUACGAAGAUUCCUUGUGUUGGAUUCGAUGUUGCUACAAAACAAAGGAAGAGGCAAAGUGGAGUCAUAUCUCACCCGCGUGCAUUGAUUAAGCUAGAGCAAACCUUGCACACGUGUAGAUCCCACAGUCUGACAUUUUAAACCCGUCCCUCCGUCCCUCCCUCUUCAGUUUUUCUCCACAAGACACGUCAUCUGGAUGGUAGUAGUGCAAUAAUAAGAGCACAUCAUGAAAGAGUUUUUGGAUAUCAUUCACUAAAAGACCUGUGAGGUUCAAGACAUCAGUUCGAUUAGAAAACGAGUAUAAAGGAGCAUAUAGCAACACAUUUAUAUAUGUACUUUAUCGCAUCUGCAUGCGCGAUGCUAGAGCCUUCUGAGCUGGUACGGACCUAACAGAAUCUGUUCUACGCUUUGGAGCCUUUGAAGAUGGGCGCGCGCUCUGCUCACAUCAUUGAGGAUAGAAGCACAUAGAGCCGGCGACUAAAAUUCUCUCUCCAGGAGGCAAUUCACGAGCUACUCUCCAUCGAGGCCUUUUCUCUCGAUUCAUUCACUGAUUAUGGCAUCGGCACCGCUUAUGAGCCAGGUAACGAUUCCCUGAGUUGCCCUGUUGUAGCGUAGAUGCAUUUCCUUUCGUCAACGUAGGUAUGUUUUCGACUAGACUGAGAUGUUCUUCACUGUUUUUGCACUUUGUUUGUAGGUAGCUUUCGUUUUUUCACAAGCAGUCAAACAUAAGCCGUUUGAUGAAAUGUUUGUAAAAGACUCUACAAGUUAACUUCGUUUUAUUUUGUUAUCUUCAAGUGCAUUGCCAUACAUUACAUCACGAUUAAUAAAUUUUUGCAUAGCGUGCAUCCAUCUUCAAGAGCAUCCAAGAGAGAAACUCUAGAGAGAAGCUCUGGAACGUAUUUCGAACGAGAUGAUAUGAAAAGGAGGAAGCCCCUAUAUAUACAAAUAUAAGGCUAAUCGUAACUGCAGAUCUUCUCAUGAUCUAACAUUGCAUCUCCAUAACUACUAAUUACCCGUAUUUAUUACAUUUGUACACAAUUACUGUAUUGCUUGCUUCUAGGAGUAUUUUAGAAUAUUCAAGAAAACCUUAAAACUUUGCGGGUCGGUUGAGGAUCACUCGUUUAUGGAUCAGUCACGACCUUUCUACAGAAAACCUUUGAAUCGUGUUGAUUCAUCGGGCCAUGACAUUCUCUUCCAACCAAUCGGGUGAUUCCCUUGUCGCAUCUUCAGCAUGGAAGGCCAUCAAUCAGGUUCAAGAGACCCUGAGUGAGAUCAAGUGAGCAGUCGGUCUCCUUGACUACAGCUCGCUGUGUUUAUCAGCAGCCUCCUCAACUCCGUGUUGCCCCUCACCAGUGUGAGUUGGAGGCCGUACACGUCGUAGACCAGGAAAUUGGCCAUUGCGGCACGACCAUUGUAGACUGCCUGUCCCUAGCGAUCUCCGGCAUCUUUGCCAAGUCCAGGGCCAAGGUCUUGAACACACAGUACUCGAGCAGGUCUACGGUUCCCAUCUUUCUUUCCCUCGGUUUCCUUCCUUUUGUUUCCUUCACCUCUGCUUAGCAAGAAUCUAUGCAUUCUCCUCGUAGGAUAAGCAAAGCACCUUUUGCCAUGCUCUUCUUUUAAGGAGGAAUUUGUGACUUCUGAGUAAAAAAAAAAGGAAUUUUCACAAGGAAAAGCAAGAAAGAUA